CAUUAUAUAUCUUAAUAAGAGUUUAAGUUUUUUAAAUUUAAGGUAGUGUGAUUAUACAUUUAUAAUGA
rnacentral:tRNA from 1 species